rnacentral:misc_RNA from 1 species
GUGAAUCAUCAAAUUUUUGAACGCAAAUUGCACUCUCUGGUAUUCCGGAGAGUAUGCCUGUUUGAGGGUCAGUUUAAAUAAAAAUCGGUGUGGUUGCUGCCUUUAGUGGUGACGUACGGGAUGUGGGUGGUCUCGCGUUAGGUUGAGUGUCUUAAUUUUUUGUAUGAUUUUUUUCGAGUGUAUUUAAAUGAUAUUAUGUAUGUUUGCGUUGUCGAAUAGUAGGUGUGGUCAUUUUCAUGAUUGGGGCCUAAA